CCUACGGGAGGCUGCAGUGAGGAAUAUUGGUCAAUGGACGAGAGUCUGAACCAGCCAAGUAGCGUGAAGGAUGACUGCCCUAUGGGUUGUAAACUUCUUUUAUCAAGGAAUAAAACGCGGCACGUGUGCCUUUUUGCAUGUCCCUUAUGAAUAAGGAUCGGCUAACUCCGUGCCAGCAGCCGCGGUAAUACGGAGGAUCCGAGCGUUAUCCGGAUUUAUUGGGUUUAAAGGGAGCGUAGAUGGGUUGUUAAGUCAGUUGUGAAAGUUUGCGGCUCAACCGUAAAAUUGCAAUUGAUACUGGCAGUCUUGAGUACAGUUGAGGUAGGCGGAAUUCGUGGUGUAGCGGUGAAAUGCUUAGAUAUCACGAAGAACCCCGAUUGCGAAGGCAGCUUACUAAACUGUGACUGACAUUGAUGCUCGAAAGUGUGGGUAUCGAACAGGAUUAGAUACCCUAGUAGUC
rnacentral:rRNA from 1 species